UGGCAACGCUGCAUCAUUUAUUCAACCAGGUGGCAAGAGAUUGACUUAGCCCACGGAAUUCUUGCAUUUUUCUGUUUAUUUAGUUUUUGUGGUCGUUUUUUGCCGUUUUAAAGAUGAACAAGGUGGAGCCAGCUGUAGAGUUUUUUGGGCCAGAAACCGUUCUGAAAGCGGACGAGGAAGUGGCCGAGGCUUCGGCGUCCGCAAGGAGCAGGCUAUCCGCCGAAGACGACAAGUCGGAGGACAAGAAGAAGCCGGAUACGCCGGAAGACGAACUCAUCUCCAUGGAAACGCUGCGCGCCUCGCCUGUCCAGUGGCCGGAGCGAUUUCCUGGUAUGGAUGAGUUCCUCACCAUGAGCGAUACGCCCAUCUACACGCGAACCACGGACUAUGCCAACAACCUGACCACCGAGGAUACGGCCAAGAUCAAUCAACUAUCCCAACUCACUCCCGAGGAGCUGAUAGAAAAGAUAAAAUCGAUGCAUGACGAGAUCUAUCAGUUGGGACUCCGUGAGGCCAAGGAGAUGACUCGCGGGAAGCUGCUGGGCAUCUUCGAUCGGGAACGCAUUCCCAAGCGGCAGCCAUGAGCUCGGAUCAUCUCAUCCCAGUUAAAUGGGACUGCCGAGGAUCUCGACGAUGUGUAAUUAAGAAUUUAGCCGUAGUUUAAUUGUACAUAAAGAUAUUUUUUAUACAUUUUGGUUCCUACGUCGACAGUACAGUGGUUGUAUUACAGAUACAUUUGAGGAGUCGGAGGAGAGAUGAAGUUAGAAACGUUGCGAGUGGACCUGUGGAGGAGGAAAAGGAGGACGAGGAGUGGUGGAGAAGGCACAGUAGAUUUCGCUAUGCAGGGAAUUUAACGCAACAAAUAACUCUGUCUAUUUGGGGGAGGAUGGAUCGGUUUUUACGUUCGCCUAAAAGGAGUAAUCCAAGAACUAUUUAUGGCAGUUUAUACUGUUUAUACAAUGCCUGAUUAUACAAUAAAUUUAAUAGCAUUUCUUAUGAAAAGUACCCAAUAAAUUUAAAUACCCAAUGAAUUUAAAUUGACAUUUUCAUUGAUUAAUUUGUUAAAAUGAAAAGAAUGCGAAUAUUGUAAUAACUCAUCAUGGUUCUUUGUGACAUAUUAUUUGCUUAAAAAUUUAAGGAGUUAUAUAUAAAUAUAAAUAAAUCUGUGUCUUUAAAUAAUA